AUAGCGUAUAUUAAAGUUGCUGCAGUUAAAAAGCUCGUAGUUGAAUUUCGGGACUAAUAUGUCGGUCGUGCCUCGGUACGUACUGGCUUAUUGGUUUCUCCUUUCUGAAGAACCAUGAUGUCAUUUAUUUGGUGUCGUGGGGAAUCAGGACUGUUACUUUGAAAAAAUUAGAGUGUUUAAAGCAGGCUCACGCUUGAAUACAUUAGCAUGGAAUAAUGAAAUAGGACGUUUGAUUCUAUUUUGUUGGUUUCUAGGAUCGACGUAAUGAUUAAUAGGGAUAGUUGGGGGCAUUAGUAUUCAAUUGUCAGAGGUGAAAUUCUUGGAUUUAUUGAAGACUAACUACUG
rnacentral:rRNA from 1 species